UACAGAGGGGGCGAGCGUUAUUCGGAAUUAUUGGGCGUAAAGGGCGCGUAGGCGGCUUUUCAAGUGACGGGUGAAAUCCCUCGGCUCAACUGAGGAACUGCCUUUGAAACUGUCGGGCUUGAGGCCGGGAGGGGGUAGCGGAAUUCCCAGUGUAGCGGUGAAAUGCGUAGAUAUUGGGAGGAACACCAGUGGCGAAGGCGGCUACCUGGACCGGUUCUGACGCUGAGGCGCGAAAGCGUGGGUAGCAAACAGG
rnacentral:rRNA from 1 species